UACGUAGGGUGCGAGCGUUGUCCGGAAUUAUUGGGCGUAAAGGGCUCGUAGGCGGUCUGUUGCGUCGGUUGUGAAAACCUGGGGCUCAACUCCAGGCCUGCAAUCGAUACGGGCAGACUAGAGUUCGGUAGGGGAGACUGGAAUUCCUGGUGUAGCGGUGAAAUGCGCAGAUAUCAGGAGGAACACCGGUGGCCAAGGCGGGUCUCUGGGCCGAAACUGACGCUGAGGAGCGAAAGCGUGGGGAGCGAACAGG
rnacentral:rRNA from 1 species